GUAGGGAAUAUUGGGCAAUGGGCGAAAGCCUGACCCAGCAACGCCGCGUGCACGAUGAAGGUCUUCGGAUCGUAAAGUGCUUUUCUGAGAGAUGAGAAAGGACAGUAUCUCAGGAAUAAGUCUCGGCUAACUACGUGCCAGCAGCCGCGGUAACACGUAGGAGGCAAGCGUUAUCCGGAUUUACUGGGCGUAAAGCGCGUGCAGGUGGUUCGGUAAGUUGGAUGUGAAAGCUCCUGGCUCAACUGGGAGAGGUCGUUCAAUACUACUGGACUUGAGAGCAGUAGAGGGAGGUGGAAUUCCCGGUGUAGUGGUGAAAUGCGUAGAUAUCGGGAGGAACACCAGUGGCGAAAGCGGCCUCCUGGACUGUUUCUGACACUCAGACGCGAAAGCUAAGGUAGCAAACGGGAUUAGAAACCCGGGUAGUCC
rnacentral:rRNA from 1 species